rnacentral:rRNA from 1 species
CCUACGGGUGGCAGCAGUGAGGAAUAUUGGUCAAUGGGCGCAAGCCUGAACCAGCCAAGUCGCGUGAGGGAAGACGGCCCUACGGGUUGUAAACCUCUUUUGCCGGGGAGCAAGCCUGAGCACGUGUGCCCAGGCGGAGAGUACCCGGAGAAAAAGCAUCGGCUAACACGGUGCCAGCAGCCGCGGUAAUACGGAGGAUGCGAGCGUUAUCCGGAUUUAUUGGGGUUAAAGGGUGCGCAGGCGGACUGUAAAGACGGCGGUAAAAACUCAGGGCUAAAACCUGUCGAGCUGUCGGAACUGGCAGCCGUGAGUGGGCGAGAAGUAUGCGGAAUGCGUGGUGUAGCGGUGAAAUGCAUAGAUAUCACGCAGAACGCCGAUUGCGAAGGCAGCAUACCGGCGCCCGACUGACGCUGAGGCACGAAAGCGUGGGGAUCGAACAGGAUUAGAUACCCGUGUAGUC